AUAGAUUGAAUAAUCUACAUCCAUGCUAAUUAUAAAGAGAAAGGAUUUGUAUUAAAGAAAGUUUGUACCGAAUAAGUUCAAAAACUACUACUCAAAAAUUCUUUCACCAGUACAAUGCUACAUUUUCCGAGAUAACAUAAGGCAUAUACGUAUUUUUAAAUAAAUAAAUUUUAUAAAUAAGUGGAUACUUAGGAUUUUAGACAGAUUAAUCAAUAUUAAUAAAGUAUUAUGGGAAAUAAGCUGUUCCGAAAACCUUUUAUUACGAGCACUAGCCACACUGUUACUUUACACAAGAACAAUGUACAACAAAAAUUUAAAAAAAAAUAGUUCUUUAAAAAAAAUUGGACACUAUAUAGCUUAACUUCUAUAAUUAAGUAACUGGUUAUGUAUAUACGCAUUAUUAUAAAAAAUAUAGUGCGUGUGGAGGCAUAGGUUCUAAUCCUACCUCGAUUAUGACAAUUGACUCUUUUCUUAGUUAUCUACAUUGCUCUUACGGUGAUUUUUGAAGGGAGAUAUUUUUAAUUUUGAUUAGUAAAAACUAUAUUACUUACUUAUAGGAUAAAAUUAUUGUGAUGAAGUGUCCCUAGGAACUAAGUAAGUAAGUGUGAAUAUAUGUAUUGAUAUCUAGUUUUAUAGUUUCAACUACAUACGGGUACAUUAUUUUGAAUAGUGAAACACUUAGGGUGGAUCAGAGGUACAAAAAGUUAACCGUGAAACAGCUAGGUAAACCUUUUUGGUAUUCCACAGGUAAGUUUCUUGGGAAAGGUCGGAGUGGGAAGACCUAGACGAACGUAUCUUGAUCAAAUUAAGGACGUCCUGGUAAAGGGUCAGGUCAAAAGUACCCGAAACCGCCGAGCUUGUAUGAAGAGAGUUAUGAAUGUGGACGAAGCGAAAGAAGUAUGCAGAGAUCGUGGCAAGUGGAAAGAGGUAGUCUCUGCCUACCCCUCCGGGAAAGAGGCGUGAUUUUAUGUAUGUAUGUAUGUAUGUAAGUUUCUUGUCACUAUUUGAAUCUCAAUUCUAUCAUCAACCCUAACAGCUGAAGGUGGCCUGUCAAUCUUUCAAGACUGCUUACCCUGUCUACCCCGCAAGGGAUUUAGAUGUGAUUAUAUGAAUGAAUGAGUCUCUUGUCUUCGAGACACUUACCCCCACCACGACCAACCCCAACCGAAAUUAGACCAGACUAUCUUUUGUUAUUAUUGCUUCUAGGUACGAACAGAAAAUAUUUAGUUAAUAACGAGUAGUUAAUAAUACACUUGCUAACAGUAAAGAAUCCGGUUUUUUGGCUGAUUGCCUUGGCAUACUAUUAUGCUACGGGUUAAUAAUAUUAUUUACGAGUAUGUACCAAUUAUAAUAAUAUUCACGAUGCUGAUAUGUAACUAGCUGUGCCCGCGACUUCGUCCGCGUGGAACAGUUAUUUGGGCAUCAUUGAAGCCCUCAAAGAUUAAUAAUUUUCCCCUUUUUUUUUUCACAUUUUCCAUUAUUUCUUCGCUCCUAAUAGUUGCAGCGUGAUGUUAUAUAGCCUAAAGCCUUCCUCGAUAAAUGGUCUGUUCAACACAAAAAAAGGAUUUUUCGAUUCGAACCAGUAGUUCCUGAGAUAAGCGCAUUCAAACAAACAAACUCUUCAGCUUUAAUAUAUAGAUAGGCACUCUUAAAUGUAAAUUAUGGCAUCGUCCUGUAUUUCCUGCAGAGACUAAAAGUCCACGUUCAACCAAAAAUGGAAUAGAAAUUCAAAUAGCGACAGGUUGCUAACCCAUCGCAUACCUACAAGAGGAAUCCCAAGUUUAUAAGCCUAUCCCUUAAUCGCCUUUUACGGCAUCCAUGGGAAACAUAAGUAUUUAUAUUCUAAAGUGUUGACAUUACACGGCGUAAAAUUACCGGAUUGUCGGAAAGCGUCAUUACUAGUUCAAGACCACAGAUUCCAACCACGGACUCGACCACCUAUGUUCUAAGUUUCCUUGAUAAUCUAGAUAUUACAUGACUAAUAUAUUACAUAACGAAGACGUACAACGUUCUGACAACUUGCUGGUAAUUAAAAGAGUAUGUAUAUAAGCCGGUUUCAUUCAGAUAAAGUUCAUGUGUUGCUUUGAACAGAGUUACCUACAUAACUAACUAUAUUUUGCGAUGAAAUUAUGUGCGGUUAAGUUUUUGCAGUCCCUAACAAGUCAGUGAGUGAAUUACAAAUCGUACAAGUGCGCGUAUUUGCUAUGUAGUUUUGACUUUGAAGUUAUAAAGAAAUACUGUGAUAAAAUAGUGUUUGUAAAAUAUAUUUAACUAAUGACAGGUUGCUAAACAAAAAAGAAUCUCAAAUUUAUUGGCAUUUUAUGGCGUGGCCUCAUUGUGAAGUGCCGGGAACCACACGGCAUAUUAUUUGAGUUUAGAAGACCCCGCGUGCCCUAACAGCGGAUUGGAACUGAAGGAUUGCAUAAUAUUAUGAAGGUAAUCUAGUAUAAAAAUACUACACAAUCCGUAUACAUACACAACUGAUUUUACAGUCAUUAAUAAUUUUUACUAAACAUUAUUAAUAGUAAUAGGCAUAAUUAAUUAUAAAACAUUAUUAAUAAUUAUUAAUUACGUAGAUAGGUAAUCUAGGUGUUCAACUUUGCGUUUUGUUUCAGUGUAGAAUAGUGAUUCCGUGUUUCCUGGCCAUGACUUUGAUUAGAUAUUUUUUUUUGUACUUACUAAAUAAUAUGUUCGAAACUCGUGAGCAGGGUUACUUAUCGUUCUUUGUUUUUUGUUUGUUUGUAAAGAUUUUAUUGUACAAUUAAAUAAAAUACCUUAUUA